rnacentral:rRNA from 1 species
UACGUAGGGGGCAAGCGUUGUCCGGAUUCAUUGGGCGUAAAGAGCGUGUAGGCGGCCAGGUAGGUCGGUUGUGAAAACUGGAGGCUCAACCUUCAGAGGUCGACCGAAACCAUCUGGCUAGAGUCCGGAAGAGGAGUGUGGAAUUCCCGGUGUAGCGGUGAAAUGACGUAGAUAUCUGGAGGAACACCGGUGGCGAAGGCGGCAUCCUGGACCAACACUGACACUGAGGAGCGAAAGCCAGGGGAGCAAACCGGG